UACGUAGGGGGCAAGCGUUGUCCGGAAUCAUUGGGCGUAAAGCGCGCGCAGGCGGUCUUCCAAGUCAGUGGUGAAAGCCCGGAGCUCAACUCCGGAACUGCCAUUGAAACUGUAAGACUUGAGGACGAGAGAGGUGAGUGGAAUUCCCAGUGUAGAGGUGAAAUUCGUAGAUAUUGGGAAGAACACCAGUGGCGAAGGCGGCUCACUGGCUCGUAUCUGACGCUCAGGCGCGACAGCGUGGGGAUCAAACAGG
rnacentral:rRNA from 1 species